UACAGAGGGGCAAGCGUUAUUCGGAAUUAUUGGCGUAAAGAGCUCGUAGGCGGUUUGUCGCGUCUGCUGUGAAAAUCCAGGGCUUAACCCUGGACCUGCAGUGGGUACGGGCAGACUGGAGUGCGGUAGGGGAGAUCGGAAUUCCUGGUGUAGCGGUGAAAUGCGCAGAUAUCAGGAGGAACACCGGUGGCGAAGGCGGCAUCCUGGACCGGCAUUGACGCUGAGGAGCGAAAGCCAGGGGAGCAAACGGG
rnacentral:rRNA from 1 species